rnacentral:lncRNA from 1 species
GUUCGAUCCUCAGCACCAUAUAAAAAUAAAAAAAUAAAGAUGUUGUGUCCACCUAAAACUAAAAAUAAAUAAAUAAAUAUUUAAAAAAUUAUCUCUCUCUUUAAAAAAAAGUUAUCAUAUUCUUUUCCAAUAUUUGAGAAAACAUUAUUCAGUAUUACAACACUUAAUAAUUUGUAGAAACAUACUUUCUACAUAAAGGCAUAAAAAUUGAUCAACUUUUUCUCCUACUAUAGUGGAAUGUGUGUGUUUAUUUAUGGACAGAUUUUUUUUAUAUAUUUUUUUAGCUUGGAUGCUAAGCUUCUUUCAAUCAGUGUACACAAAACCAAAUUUACUGCUUUAUCUAAGUGGCAAAUUAGAAUAGAUUAUGAAACACAUAGAGUUCAGAUAGUUAGGUUACUAAUGCUAAAAGAUUACUACCAAUAGUCAAUUAUUCCAAGAAAUUAAUGGUUCUGUUUGUUGAGAUAUCAUCAGAAACUACCAUGACAAUAGAGGAUUACUUCUCAAGAGGUCAGACUCAAGUGUGACAAGAUAAUAGGAACAUGGAAACAGUGGCAGCAGCCUCGGAGGACUUUUUUAAAAUGUUAAAGUCACCUGAAGGAAAAGGAUGGAAGAUAAUGUUUUCUACAGUCAGCUCUAUAUACGAAAUAAAAAGUAAUCAGCCUAUUUCAGUAGUUCUUGGGCUUUUGGGAUUAGAAUCACCACCCCUGACGGUGAUUGCCACAUGAUAACAUCAGCAGUAUAACCACGUCCCAGAGCCUACAGAAGCAGUGAUGACUGAGGAGUCAUCACUGAAUUCAAGCAGUGACUCUCUAGUACUGGGCCUCUACUUACAAAUCACUGAUGAUUGCAGAUAAAUACCUUCUUAAAUACUCAAUUGUCAAAGAUCAGAAUUUACCAAGUAACCCCUCUAUGUUACUUUGAAGCUGGCAUGGAAACAUACCAACCAGUUUUUACCUCUUUCUUUCAUCAAGUCCUAACCUGCUCCAGUGCAAACUGUAGAAACCCUUUUUGCUCCAUUUCCCUUCUGACAGACAUUGCAGUGACCAUAUGUAUCUUUAGUUAAAUCCAACUAACUAAAGCAGCACACCUGG